rnacentral:rRNA from 1 species
CCUACGGGAGGCAGCAGUGGGGAAUUUUCCGCAAUGGGCGAAAGCCUGACGGAGCAACGCCGCGUGGGUGAUGAAGUCUUUCGGGAUGUAAAGCCCUUUCAGCAGGGACGAAGCGAGUGACGGUACCUGCAGAAGAAGCAUCGGCUAACUACGUGCCAGCAGCCGCGGUAAUACGUAGGAUGCAAGCGUUGUCCGGAAUUAUUGGGCGUAAAGAGAACGUAGGCGGUCGUCUAGGUUCGGUUUUAAAGACCGGGGCUCAACCCCGGGAGUGGACUGAAGACUGGGCGACUGGAGGAUGUCAGAGGAAGGUAGAAUUCCCAGUGUAGCGGUGAAAUGCGUAGAUAUUGGGAGGAAUACCUGUGGCGAAAGCGGCCUUCUGGGGCAUUCCUGACGCUGAGGUUCGAAAGCUCGGGGAGCAAACAGGAUUAGAUACCCUGGUAGUCCGAGCCGUAAACGAUGGACACUGGGUGUAGAAGGUAUUGACCCCUUCUGUGCCGUAGCUAACGCGUUAAGUGUCCCGCCUGGGGAGUACGGUCGCAAGACUGAAACUCAAAGGAAUUGACGG